AUUGAACGCUGGCGGCAGGCCUAACACAUGCAAGUCGAGCGAGCGGCGGACGGGUGAGUAAUGUCUGGGAAUCUGCCUGAUGGAGGGGGAUAACUACUGGACACGGUAGCUAAUACCGCAUACCAUCAGAUGUGCCCAGUUGGGAUUAGCUAGUAGGUGGGGUAAUGGCUCACCAAGGCGAAGAUCCGUCGCUGGUCUGAGAGGAUGACCAGCCACACUGGAACUGAGACACGGUCCAGACUCCUACGGGAGGCAGCAGGGGGGAAUAUUGGACAAUGGGCGCAAGCCUGAUGCAGCCAUGCCGCGUGUGUGAAGAAGGCCUUCGGGUUGUAAAGCACUUUCAGCGAGGAGGCGUUACUCACAGAAGAAGCACCGGCUAACUCCGUGCCAGCAGCCGCGGUAAUAC
rnacentral:rRNA from 1 species